AGAGUUUGAUUAUGGCUCAGGACGAACGCUGGCGGCGUGCCUAACACAUGCAAGUCGAGCGGGGACCGGGCUUCGGCCUGGUUCUAGCGGCGGACGGGUGAGUAACGCGUGAACAAUCUGUCCUGUACAGGGGGAUAACACUUGGAAACAGGUGCUAAUACCGCAUAAGCCCACGGCCCGGCAUCGGGCAGGGGGAAAAGGGGCAACUCGGUAUAGGGUGAGUUCGCGUCCCAUUAGCUGGUUGGCGGGUAAAGGCCCACCAAGGCAACGAUGGGUAGCCGACCUGAGAGGGUGAUCGGCCACACUGGAACUGAGAAACGGUCCAGACUCCUACGGGAGGCAGCAGUGGGGAAUAUUGGGCAAUGGGGGAAAAACCCCCUGACCCAGCAACGCCGCGUGAGGGAAGAAGGCUUUCGGGUCGUAAACCUCUGUCCCAUGGGAAGAGCAGAAGACGGUACCAUGGGAGGAAGCCCCGGCUAACUACGUGCCAGCCGCCGC
rnacentral:rRNA from 1 species